AGCCUUUUGAAUCCGUUUUGAGAUUUCGUCAGACACCAACCCAUUAGGGCUGAUCAGACUUGCAAUAUAAGUGAAAUU
rnacentral:pre_miRNA from 1 species